UACGUAGGGGGCAAGCGUUGUCCGGAUUUAUUGGGCGUAAAGAGCGUGUAGGCGGCCAGACAGGUCCGUUGUGAAAACUCGAGGCUCAACCUCGAGACGCCGAUGGAAACCGUUUGGCUAGAGUCCGGAAGAGGAGAGUGGAAUUCCUGGUGUAGCGGUGAAAUGCGCAGAUAUCAGGAAGAACACCCGUGGCUAAGGCGGCUCACUGGCCCGGUACUGACGCUGAGGUGCGAAAGCGUGGGGAGCAAACAGG
rnacentral:rRNA from 1 species